rnacentral:rRNA from 1 species
UUAACGCUAGCGGCAGGCCUAAUAACAUGCAAGUCGAACGGCAGCGGGUGUAGCAAUACAUGCCGGCGAGUGGCGCACGGGUGCGUAACGCGUAUGCAAUCUACCUGGUAACUGGGGAAUAGCCUUCCGAAAGGUAAGAUUAAUACCGCAUAAUAUCAUGAAGUGGCAUCAUUUUAUGAUCAAAACUCCGGUGGUUACAGAUGAGCAUGCGUGACAUUAGCUAGUUGGUGAGGUAACGGCUCACCAAGGCUACGAUGUCUAGGGGGUCUGAGAGGAUGAUCCCCCACACUGGUACUGAGACACGGACCAGACUCCUACGGGAGGCAGCAGUAAGGAAUAUUGGACAAUGGCCGCAAGGCUGAUCCAGCCAUGCCGCGUGCAGGAUGAAGGUGCUCUGCAUUGUAAACUGCUUUUGUUCGGGAAUAAACCCUUUCACGUGUGAGAGGUUGAAUGUACCGAAAGAAUAAGGGACGGCUAACUUCGUG